AUUUCCUCCCAUCUACAUUCUGGACCAAACGAACAGUGUUUCUUGUGUGUGGUUAGUGUUUAAGGCUUCAUUGUGUACAUGGCCUUGAAAGAUAUAUUUUUAUAGAAGAAAAGAAGCAAACAAUUCUGAAAUACCACUGGAAAAAUGAAGUGCAGAAGAGCUGGCUUUUGGCCUUGGCUUGACACAGCCUAGCUCACUGCAGAAGACUGGCCUCACCUGAUAGCAGAUGUCCAAACAUUAAUCUUCUCCCUGCUUUCUAUAAGAAAAAUAAUGCACAGUGUAAAUCACCAGCUCCUCUUAUUCAAAACCCAAAGACAGCUUGACUGGAAGCUCACUGGAGCAAGUGCCAUCUUCCUGUUCUAUGACGGUACAGCACUAAGUAAAAGAGAACUAUGACCUGUUGUUAGGGAUUUCCUUGGGUCAAGAGUCAGUAUCAAGUAAAGAAAUAAUGAUGGCACCAAAUCUCUUGUCAUCAGAUCAAUAUCAGAUAAGAAUAAAAUUA